CACGUAGGGCGCAAGCGUUGUCCGGAAUUAUUGGGCGUAAAGAGCUCGUAGGCGGUCUGUCGCGUCUGCCGUGAAAACCCGGGGCUUAACCUUGGGCUUGCGGUGGAUACGGGCGGACUUGAGGUAGGUAGGGGAGAAUGGAAUUCCCGGUGUAGCGGUGAAAUGCGCAGAUAUCGGGAGGAACACCGGUGGCGAAGGCGGUUCUCUGGGCCUUACCUGACGCUGAGGAGCGAAAGCGUGGGGAGCGAACAGG
rnacentral:rRNA from 1 species